CUCUGUGUCAGCAUGCCUGCACCAGGUCACAACAAUGGCUGCUGCAAUGUCCCAGUUCCUAAAGAGGUCUCACCUCUCACCGAGAUGUGCUCAGAGCCUAUCAGCCACAUCUCCAUUCCAUGUUUCCCAUCUGGUGGGGUCGAAAGCGACUCAGAACAAAGUGACAUCUAAAUCAAGACUGAAGGAUGUGAAAUCGCGCUAUCAGAUGUAAAUAUAAUGAAAAUGUCAGUGAGACUCUCUCAACACCAAUCUUCUUGGUCCUCAAGAUGUUGUAAAAUAAAAAUGGGAUCUAGAUGCUUUGUGUUUCCAAAUAAACA